GACGAACGCUGGCGGCGUGCUUAACACAUGCAAGUCGAACGGUAAGGCUCCAGCUUGCUGGGGUACACGAGUGGCGAACGGGUGAGUAACACGUGGGUGACCUGCCCUGCACUUCGGGAUAAGCCUGGGAAACUGGGUCUAAUACCGGAUAGGACCGCACCGUGAGGGUGUGAUGGAAAGUUUUUUCGGUGUGGGAUGGGCCCGCGGCCUAUCAGCUUGUUGGUGGGGUAAUGGCCUACCAAGGCGGCGACGGGUAGCCGGCCUGAGAGGGUGGACGGCCACAUUGGGACUGAGACACGGCCCAGACUCCUACGGGAGGCAGCAGUGGGGAAUAUUGCACAAUGGGCGGAAGCCUGAUGCAGCGACGCCGCGUGGGGGAUGACGGCCUUCGGGUUGUAAACUCCUUUCACCAUCGACGAAGGGUUUCUGACGGUAGAUGGAGAAGAAGCACCGGCUAACUACGUG
rnacentral:rRNA from 1 species